rnacentral:misc_RNA from 1 species
GAUGAAGAACGUAGCGAAAUGCGAUAAGUAAUGUGAAUUGCAGAAUUCAGUGAAUCAUCGAAUCUUUGAACGCACAUUGCGCCCCCCAGUAUUUUGGCGGGCAUGCCUGUUCGAGCGUCAUUUCAACCAUCAAGCCCUGCUUGUGUUGGGGUCCUGCGGCUGCCCGCAGGCCCUGAAAACCAGUGGCGGGCUCGCUAGUCACACCGAGCGCAGUAGCACAUCUCGCUCAGGGCGUGCGGCGGGCUCCAGCCGUUAAAGCACCCACCUUUCGCAAGGUUGACCUCGGAUCAGGUAGGAAUACCCGCUGAACUUAAGCAUAUCAAUUAGCGGAGGA